ACAUACACCUGUGGCCCAUCAUAACACGUCUCAACAGAGAUCCCACUGAGAAUGAACAGCGGUUUCUUAUUGACAGUGUACUCGUGGAUUGCGUUUAGCACAUGUCACGUGGUUGACAGAUUCAGCGUCGGUCAAAACGAGUCUUUUACUGUGAGAUGCACCAUACAGAAGUUUCGAACAGAUGACUAUCCCGAAUCCCCCUAUGUUGUGACGUUGGCCGCUGAGAGGAGACCCACAGGGGAAGAGAACUUUCAACUCAUGGCCAAGUAUUCUCCGUUCGCUCCCUUGGAAGAGUACAGGAAA
rnacentral:sRNA from 1 species